UAUCCAGACUCCUACGGGAGGCAGCAGUGGGGAAUAUUGCACAAUGGGGGAAACCCUGAUGCAGCGACGCCGCGUGAAGGAAGAAGUCUUUCGGUAUGUAAACUUCUAUCAGCAGGGAAGAAAAUGACGGUACCUGACUAAGAAGCCCCGGCUAACUACGUGCCAGCAGCCGCGGUAAUACGUAGGGGGCAAGCGUUAUCCGGAUUUACUGGGUGUAAAGGGGGCGCAGACGGCAGCGCAAGCCAGGAGUGAAAGCCCGGGGCCCAACCCCGGGACUGCUCUUGGAACUGCGCGGCUGGAGUGCAGGAGGGGCAGGCGGAAUUCCUGGUGUAGCGGUGAAAUGCGUAGAUAUCAGGAGGAACACCGGCGGCGAAGGCGGCCUGCUGGACUGCGACUGACGUUGAGGCCCGAAAGCGUGGGGAGCAAACAGGAUUAGAUACCCCGGUAC
rnacentral:rRNA from 1 species